GUCGGAAGCAAAGUUGUUUGUUGCAACAAAACAUCGCUUAUGCCACGAAGACAAUUUUUUUAUUAGUUACUGCAAAGAGAAGUUAAGAACAUAAAUAUGGAUCUAGAAGGCACAUAUUGCUAAUGCUGAAUUACAGGUUGCUUCAACAUUCACAAAAUAGAGAAGUUGGGAAUUGCAUAUACAAGUUCAAUUGCUGCUAGAGUGCCAUAAGGUUUUUGCUGCCAGUGGUAUGC
rnacentral:misc_RNA from 1 species